rnacentral:rRNA from 1 species
AUUCGGCGUAAAGAGUGGUUAAAUUAUUACUUUACUAAAGCCGAACAGCCUCAUGACUGUUAUACGUACUCGAGGGUAAGAAGCCCUUUUACGAAAGUAGCUUUACUCAUAUUGACCCCACGAAAGCUGUGAAACAAACUGGGAUUAGAUACCCCACUAUGCUCAGCCAUAAACUUCGGCAGCUUUUUACAACUGCUGCCCGCCAGGGAACUACAAGCAUAAGCUUAAAACCCAAAGGACUUGGCGGUGCUUAAGAUCCACGUAGAGGAGCCUGUUCUAGAACCGAUGACCCCCGUUCAGCCUCACCCUCCCUUGUGCCCCCCGCCUAUAUACCGCCGUGGUCAGCUUAGCCUGUGAAGGAUUAAUAGUAAGCAAAACUAGUA